CCUACGGGAGGCAGCAGUGAGGAAUAUUGGUCAAUGGACGAGAGUCUGAACCAGCCAAGUAGCGUGAAGGAUGACUGCCCUAUGGGUUGUAAACUUCUUUUGUCAAGGAAUAAAACGAGUCACGUGUGGCUUUUUGAAAGUACUCUAUGAAUAAGGAUCGGCUAACUCCGUGCCAGCAGCCGCGGUAAUAGGGAGGAUGCGAGCGUUAUCCGGAUUUAUUGGGUUUAAAGGGUGCGCAGGCGGAUGUGCAAGUCAGUGGGAAAAUUUCGGGGCUCAACCUCGUACUGCCAUUGAUACUGGAACUCUUGAGUGCGCGAGAGGUAUGCGGAAUGCGUGGUGUAGCGGUGAAAUGCAUAGAUAUCACGAAGAACCCCGAUUGCGAAGGCAGCAUAC
rnacentral:rRNA from 1 species